CCAGCAGCCGCGGUAAUACGUAGGGUGCAAGCGUUAAUCGGAAUUACUGGGCGUAAAGCGUACGCAGGCGGCUUGGUAAGACAGAUGUGAAAUCCCCGGGCUCAACCUGGGAACUGCAUUUGUGACUGCCAAGCUCGAGUCUGUCAGAGGGGGGUGGAAUUCCACGUGUAGCAGUGAAAUGCGUAGAGAUGUGGAGGAACACCGAUGGCGAAGGCAGCCCCCUGGGUCAAGAUUGACGCUCAUGCACGAAAGCGUGGGGAGCGAACAGGAUUAGAUACCCUGGUA
rnacentral:rRNA from 1 species